rnacentral:tRNA from 1 species
UUAGCUCAGUUGGUAGAGCAGUUGGCUUUUAACCAAUUGGUCGCUGGUUCGAAUCCAGCACGA